rnacentral:tRNA from 2 species
GAGGAUGGAGCCAGACGGCUAGGCAACCGGCUGCAACCCGGUGAAAGUGGGUUCGAUUCCCACCGUCCUCU